rnacentral:lncRNA from 1 species
GGGGGAAUAGGCUUUGUCGUGCCCUCUUCACGACUGUCUUGGUGUGUUUGGACCAUGAUAGUUUGUUGGUGAUGUGGACACCAAGGAAAAUUUUGCUCCCAACCUGCUCCACAGCAGCCCCAUCGUGGAGGGAGAAGUUGUUGUCCUUGCACCAUACGAUCAGAUCUGACCUCUUCCCUAUAGGCUGUCUCGUCGUUGUCUGUGAUCAGGCCUACCACUGUUGUCAUCGGCAAACUUAAUGAUGGUGUUGGAGUCGUGCCUGGCCAUGCAGUCAUGAGUGAACAGGGAGUACAGGAGGGGACUGAGCACGCACCCCUGAGGGACCCCUGUGUUGAGGAUCAGCGUGGCGGAUGUGUUGUUACCUACCCUUACCACCUGGGGGCAGCCAGUCAGGAAGUCCAGGAUCCAGUUGCAGAGAGAGGUGUUUAGUCCCAGGUUCCUUAGCUUAUUGAUGAGUUUUGAGGGCACUAAGCUGAGGUGAACACUAAGCUGUAGUCAAUGAAAAGCAUUCUCACAUAGGUGUUCCUUUUGUCCAGGUGGGAAAGAGCUGUGUGGAUUGCAAUAGAGAUUGCAUCAUUUGUAGAUCUGUUGGGGCGGUGUGCAAAUUGGAGUGGGUCUAGGGUUUCUGGGAUAAUGGUGUUGAUGUGACCCAUGACCAGCCUUUCAAAGCACUUCAUGGCGGCAGACGUGAGUGCUACGGGUCGGUAGUCAUUUAGGCAGGUUACCUUGGUGUUCUUGGGCACAGGGACUAUGGUGGUCUGCUUGAAACAUGUUGGUAUUACAGACUCAGUCAGGGACAGGUUGAAAAUGUCAGUGAAGACACUUGCCAGUUGGUCAGCACAUGCUUGGAGUACACAUCCUGGUAAUCCGUCUGGCCGUGCGGCAUUGUGAAUGUUGACCUGUUUAAAGGUCUUACAUCGGCUGUGGAUGUGAGUACGUAUGGUCACUGUGGGGACGACGUCGUCGAUGCACUUAAUUUGUAAGUCGCUCUGGAUAAGAGCGUCUGCUAAAUGACUUAAAUGUAAAUGUAUUGAUGAAGCCAGUGACUGAUGUGGUGUACUCCUCAAUGCCAUUGGAUGAAUACCGGAACAUAUUCCAGUAUGUGCUAGCAAAACAGUCCUGUAGCUUAGCAUCUGCUUCAUCUGACCACUUUCUUAUUGACUGAGUCACUGGUGCUCCCUGCUUCCUAUUUUUUACUUGUCAGCAGGAAUCAGGAGGAUACAAUUAUGGUCAGAUUUGCCAAAUGGAGGGUGAGCUUUGUAUGCGUCUCUGUGUGUGGAGUAAAAGUGGUCCAGAGUUUUUUCCCCUCUGGUUGCACAUUUAACAUGUUGGUAGAAAUGAGAUAAAACGGAUUUGAGUUUCCCUGCAUUAAAGUCCCCAGCCACUAGGAGCGCCACCUCUGGAUAAGCGUUUUCCUGUUUGCUUAUGGUCGUAUACAGAUCAUAAAGCAGGUCUACAGUGAUAAUGUGGUUUAGUGAUUGUAGCAGAGAUUAUAACGGUUUCAUAAAAUGGAUAUUAGCUGGUUGUAGCUGAGUUUGGUUUAUAUUGAUAGAUGUUAUGAAGUUAUAAAUGUGAAAUACUAGGGUGUAGUAUAUUAUCAGGUUAUAAAGGUUAUAAGCUAGUACAUGGCUAAUAGAUGCAUAAUAAGGAAUCUAUCAGUAUAUAAUACCCUGGGGUAUAGUUAUAAAGCAUGUGUAAUACCCUGGGGUAUAGUUAUAAAGCAUGUGUAAUACCCUGGGGUAUAGUUAUAAAGCAUGUGUAAUACCCUGGGGUAUAGUUAUAAAGCAUGUGUAACACCCUGGGGUAUAGUUAUAAAGCAUGUGUAACAACCUGGUGUAUAGUUAUAAAACAUGUCUAAUAAUAUGGUCUAGUUAUUGUAGCAGAUGUUAUUAAGGUGUACAUGCUGUUGGAGCGGAGUUUAAUUUAGCAUGUGUAAUUGCCCGGUGUAUACAGAGACAAUACAUGUGUAAUUGCCCGGUGUAUACAGAGACAAUACAUGUGUAAUUGCCCGGUGUAUACAGAGACAAUACAUGUGUAAUUGCCCGGUGUAUAUAGAGACAAUACAUGUGUAAUUACCCGGUGUAUAUAGAGACAAUACAU